rfam:Gossypium raimondii Chr05_contig_1355, whole genome shotgun sequence.
UAGUAAAAAUUUCAUUCAUUUCUAUUGUUAAAAACUGGCGUUGCUGACAAAAUAACCAGACAGUUAUACAUGAUGUGUCAUGUUUACCUCAUUCUAACGUACAGGACCAAUUUUUAAUAGUAGAAAUGAAUGACAUUUUUAACA